CAUCCUGGGAUAGUUCAGUUGGUAGAGCAUGAGGCUCUUAAUCUCUGGGUCAUUGGUUCAUGCUCCAUGUUGGGUGA